GACGAACGCUGGCGGCGUGCCUAACACAUGCAAGUCGAACGGAUGCAGGGGGCUUGCUCCUUGCAUUAGUGGCGCACGGGUGAGUAACGCGUGGAUAAUCUGCCUUCAAGACCGGGAUAACGGUUCCAACGAGCCGCUAAUACCUGAUAGGUUAUCGAGAUCACCUGAUUUUGAUAAGAAGGAUGCAAUUGCAUUGCUUGAAGAUGAGUUUGCGGACCAUUAGCUAGUUGGCGGGGUAAUAGCCCACCAAGGCAACGAUGGUUAGCCGGCCUGAAAGGGUGAUCGUCACAUUGGGACUGAGAUACGGCCCAGACUCCUACGGGAGGCAGCAGUAGGGAAUUUUGCGCAAUGGACGAAAGUCUGACGCAGCAAUACCGUGUGAGGGAUGAAGCAUUUCGGUAUGUAAACCUCUGUCGAUGGUGAAUAAUGGCGUUGGGAGUGGAAAGCCCAGCGUUUGAAUGUAGCCAAGAAGGAAGCACCGGCUAACUCUGUGCCAGCAGCCGCGGUAAUACAGGGGGUGCAAGCGUUGUUCGGAAUCACUGGGCGUAAAGGGAGCGUAGGCGGAAUUGCAAGACAGAGGUUAAAUGUCCGGGCUCAACCUGGAACCUGCCUUUGUGACUGCAGUUCUUGAGUAUGGCAGAGGCUAGUGGAAUUACAGGUGUAGCGGUGGAAUGCGUAGAUAUCUGUAAGAACACCAGAGGCGAAGGCGACUAGCUGGGCCAAUACUGACGCUGAGGCUCGAAAGUGUGGGGAGCAAACAGGAUUAGAUACCCUGGUAGUCCACACCGUAAACGAUGAACACUAGAUGUCGGGGGAGUUGUCCUUCGGUGUCGACGCAAACGCAAUAAGUGUUCCGCCUGGGGAGUACGCUCGCAAGGGUG
rnacentral:rRNA from 1 species